CCUACGGGGGGCAGCAGUCGAGAAUCAUUCACAAUGGGGGAAACCCUGAUGGUGCGACGCCGCGUGGGGGAAUGAAGGUCUUCGGAUUGUAAACCCCUGUCAUGUGGGAGCAAAUUAAAAAGAUAGUACCACAAGAGGAAGAGACGGCUAACUCUGUGCCAGCAGCCGCGGUAAUACAGAGGUCUCAAGCGUUGUUCGGAAUCACUGGGCGUAAAGCGUGCGUAGGCUGUUUCGUAAGUCGUGUGUGAAAGGCGCGGGCUCAACCCGCGGACGGCACAUGAUACUGCGAGACUAGAGUAAAGGAGGGGGAACCGGAAUUCUCGGUGUAGCAGUGAAAUGCGUAGAUAUCGAGGGGAACACUCGUGGCGAAGGCGGGUUCCUGGACAUUAACUGACGCUGAGGCACGAAGGCCAGGGGAGCGAAGGGGAUUAGAUACCCCUGUAGUC
rnacentral:rRNA from 1 species